GGCGUGCCUAAUACAUGCAAGUCGAACGCACUCUCGUUUAGAUUGAAGGAGCUUGCUCCUGAUUGAUAAACAUUUGAGUGAGUGGCGGACGGGUGAGUAACACGUGGGUAACCUGCCCUAAAGUGGGGGAUAACAUUUGGAAACAGAUGCUAAUACCGCAUAAAACCUAACACCGCAUGGUGUAGGGUUGAAAGAUGGUUUCGGCUAUCACUUUAGGAUGGACCCGCGGUGCAUUAGUUAGUUGGUGAGGUAAAGGCUCACCAAGACCGUGAUGCAUAGCCGACCUGAGAGGGUAAUCGGCCACACUGGGACUGAGACACGGCCCAGACUCCUACGGGAGGCAGCAGUAGGGAAUCUUCCACAAUGGACGAAAGUCUGAUGGAGCAACGCCGCGUGGGUGAAGAAGGUUUUCGGAUCGUAAAACUCUGUUGUUGGAGAAGAAUGUAUCUGAUAGUAACUGAUCAGGUAGUGACGGUAUCCAACCAGAAAGCCACGGCUAACUACGUGCCAGCAGCCGCGGUAAUACGUAGGUGGCAAGCGUUGUCCGGAUUUAUUGGGCGUAAAGCGAGCGCAGGCGGUUUCUUAAGUCUGAUGUGAAAGCCUUCGGCUCAACCGAAGAAGUGCAUCGGAAACUGGGAAACUUGAGUGCAGAAGAGGACAGUGGAACUCCAUGUGUAGCGGUGAAAUGCGUAGAUAUAUGGAAGAACACCAGUGGCGAAGGCGGCUGUCUGGUCUGUAACUGACGCUGAGGCUCGAAAGCAUGGGUAGCAAACAGGAUUAGAUACCCUGGUAGUCCAUGCCGUAAACGAUGAGUGCUAGGUGUUGGAGGGUUUCCGCCCUUCAGUGCCGCAGCUAACGCAUUAAGCACUCCGCCUGGGGAGUACGACCGCAAGGUUGAAACUCAAAGGAAUUGACGGGGGCCCGCACAAGCGGUGGAGCAUGUGGUUUAAUUCGAAGCAACGCGAAGAACCUUACCAGGUCUUGACAUCCUUUGACCACUCUAGAGAUAGAGCUUUCCCUUCGGGGACAAAGUGACAGGUGGUGCAUGGUUGUCGUCAGCUCGUGUCGUGAGAUGUUGGGUUAAGUCCCGCAACGAGCGCAACCCUUAUUACUAGUUGCCAGCAUUUAGUUGGGCACUCUAGUGAGACUGCCGGUGACAAACCGGAGGAAGGUGGGGACGACGUCAAAUCAUCAUGCCCCUUAUGACCUGGGCUACACACGUGCUACAAUGGAUGGUACAACGAGUUGCGAGACCGCGAGGUUUAGCUAAUCUCUUAAAACCAUUCUCAGUUCGGAUUGUAGGCUGCAACUCGCCUACAUGAAGCCGGAAUCGCUAGUAAUCGCGGAUCAGCAUGCCGCGGUGAAUACGUU
rnacentral:rRNA from 1 species